UAGCAAAUUGGUCUUCAAUUAGAGCUACAUUUUGUUUAGCAAAUGCUUUUUUAAAUAUUUGUGAUAGAAGGUCAUCAAUUUCACAUUUGAGUUCUUUGAGAACUGUUGGGUAGAUGCCAGCUAAAUGUCAUGAUAUGUCAGUUUUUAUUUUGCCAGUAAGGCCUGGAACUUUGUGUCUUGCCACCACCAUCUGCCUCAGUUCCUCAGACUCCCUUCCUGCAAAAGUUAGUUCAGGCACCAGGAUCUGCCCUUUAUCAUCCACUAUGAAGACGAACACACAAAAAUUCACCUUCUGUGCAAUUGCUUUAUCCUCCUUUUCCACGCCUCGGAUUCCCUUAUCAUCCAAGGGCCCAACCGCUUCCCUAGCAGAUGUCCUGUAGUUGAAGAAAUUCUUGUUGUUGGUUUUAGUAUUUUUAGCAAUGUGCUUCUCAAAUUAUUUUUAGCAUUCUUUAUUGUCUGCUUACAGUUAUUUUGCCAAAGUUUGUGUUCCUUUUGUUCUCUUUGUUUGGACAAGACUUCUGUUUUUUUAAAGGAGGCCUUCUUGCCUGUAAUAGCUUCUUUGGCUCUGCUUGUUAAGCAUGCUGGCAUCUUCUUGGCCAGGGUGAUACCAUUUCUGAUCUGUGGUAAACAGCCAGUGGAACUCCCAGCUAAGUGUACAGUGGAUUGCGGCCAUACCUAAUUCCAGGCAUGGCAGAUUAAUAAACCAUACUCAAAACUAUAAACUAUUACACUGACCGUCACUGUUAGCAAGCUAUAGCUUUUUGGCUAAAUGAUUGCAUUAAAAUAUUAUACAGAUAAAGUGGUAUCUUAAGGGAAGUACCCUAUAACUACACCAACAAUAGGUGGAAAACACAAUACUCGUAGCUAGAGGAAUUCCACUGGCAUAACAAUAUUUUCUUCAUAAACAGGAUCUGUUCCUUCGUUACUGUAAUUAUAUGUGAAUGCUGCUUCAGUGUGGCCAUUCUAGCAACGACAGGCAGUAGAAAUAUGAGGGCUGGGAAAAUGUCAUGCUUCUUUCUUGUGCCAGUGUUGCCCUUCCUGGGGCCAUGUAUAUUCCCAGUUUGGGAAGGAACUUGGAGCUCUCCCUUAUGAACUGGAUCUAAAUCUUUGCAGAAAUCAGCGGGGUUAGUGUCUCUUGAUACAAACUGGUGCCACGAUGACUUGUGUUUGUGCUGAUUUGUUGGAAACAUUUCUCUGGGUGUUUGGGCUGGCAUGGUGCACACCAACCAAGGCACUGCCAAUUCCAUUCUUGGUCAAGAGCAUCCAAUGUGUUGGUCCAGUGGUUCUCAUCUGUUCUUGGGCAGAUGACUAAUCUGUGUAUUCCUCAUGUUGCUUAUGUUGGUGGUCAGAGUGUGGGUGUGCAGUUCCUCUAGUCAUGAUUUACCACUCCUGGUGUGCAGACUUUCCAUGUGCCUGAGGUAUUCAGCCUUGGUGAUUCAGAAGCUUAUACUGAAUCUGAAAACUACCCAUCUUUAUAAGGCCACAGAAGUUCAGCACUAUGGCACCAAGCUGUCAACUCAAGUGUCCAUCUUGCUUCAGAUGCCAUUAGUCCUUUCUCCCCCACCCACCCCAGUCCCUAGAUGUAUGCCUCUCUUUAUUUUUUCAUAGUGAACUGGCUGCUAACUUAAACUCCUGGCUGUCAUCCCAGCCUUCAGAAUAGAGCCAGGCUGACUGGGCACACACAGUCUUGAAUAAAUAAAUACAACUUGAUUUUAAAAAUUAUGGAAGUAUGAACUAUAUUUAGCUGCCAUUUAGUACACUGAUGUAAAUUUGCCAGUGUCCAAUUCGAAGCUCCUAACUAAUAGGUUCUUAAUUUGUUCACAAAGGCCUAUUAUGGAUGUUUUAAACUUAGUUCGUACUCGUGUUGUGCGUGUUUUAGGUUACUUUUACAACACUUCCUAUAAAAAUAUGUUGUAUUUUUCUUCCAGGGUGCAGUAAAAAGGCAAAUAGAGUUGUAUCCACUUUAAACAAGAUAACCUUAACAUUGCUUCAUGCUUAUUUUCAGAAUGCUGUUAAUGAAAUGUUAUUGGGACGUUCUGUUAUUUUAAACAAGUGUUCUUUCUAUAAAAAGUUUUAGAGUCAUCAGAAAUGAAACAUACUUCUGACAGUACAAUCCUAUACAUACCUACUAAGCCAUAUUGAAGUUGCAGUCAUAUACACCUCACUUAGAAAACACUCCACUAAAUGGAGUAGGACUUACUUCAGGGUUAAUGUGCCAAGGAAUGCACUGUGGAUGUGUUUAUUAUACUGUAUUCAUAUUUUAUGGGAAAUUAAAACGCUGUAGAAAAAGCAAAUAGAAAAUGAAUGAGUUUUGCAAUGAGUGGUGAUUCCUUCCAGAUGGUGUCAUGGGGCCUCUGACAGGCCACCCUAAAUCUUUCUGGAAGUAUCAACCAGUUUAGGCAUUUUUGGGGUGGUGGUAGGACAGGUAGCUGGUAGCCACAGACCCAUCUACAUAGAACUGGGUUUGGGGAGGAACAACACCAAGAAGCUCAGAGUCAUCUCUCCGUGCAGUGCUUGCAACAUAAAUGGAAGGAACCCUGAGUAUUUACAGAUGUCUCUGUUUUUGCUCAUUAGUAGAUAUCUGUGGCUUCUCGCAUCAUGGCUAAAAGCAAGAUGGAUUAUUGAGCUUGUAUCUUGGAGCCUUCCUCUGUAUUUAAUCUUGCAUCUGAUGAUGAUCCUAAGUCAGAAACUCAAAGAAUACAGUCGUACCUUGGAAGUCGAACGGAAUCCGUUUGACUUCCAAAACGUUCGGAAACCAAGGCGUGGCUUCUGAUUGGCUGCAGGAAGCUCCUGCAGCCAAUCAGAAGCCAUGGAACCCGUGUCAGACAUUUGGGUUCCAAAGAAUGUUUGCAAACCAGAACACUCACUUCUGGGUUUGUGGCGUUCGGGAGCCAAAACGUUCGACUUGCAAGGUGUUUGGGAUCCAAGGUACAACUGUAUAGCACAGCAGAGACAUAGUCAUCAGGUUCUGGAACCAAUAUUGUCUCAGCCUGAUCCUGAAACUUAGACUUGUAUCUUACUAUGUACAGAUAAACAAAAUGUGGGCUUUAUAAAAAUGCUUCCAGUUUUCAUAAAGAGCAAAAAUGAAAAAAUGCUUGAAUUGCUUUUAUCAAUGAUACAUUGCCCAACCUCUGUAAUUCCUGGAUGUCAGCACUAGUUCAGAAUAAACAAUUUGGCUAGAAUUUGA